CAAAAACCACCAACAUCAAGAAAACGGUCGGUGAUUAUUCGGUGUCUGGCCGAGCUACAUCCAGACAAACUACUACGACUGUUCAAAACCCAAAUCUGAAAGUCACAACGGUGGAGACGAGGCAGACCGUCCACGUGUCGGUGAAGAAUAAAAAAUGAACCACAGGAAAGGAUCGUGCACACAUCUUAAACUGAGACCAGGAUCCCAGGACCUGGUGGAGGAUUUUAAGAAGAUUCCGGCUGCCCGAUCCCUUUCAUCAAAGUCUUCUGCAAAAAAACACCUAAAAAAUGUGUGAAAAGCCCAAAGUAUUGUUGUAGCGUAUUAGGAAACUAUGUUGUGUUACUGUUUGUGGAGGUGGUUCCUCACUGAUAACAUGGAGAAAUACUAAAGUUAAGUGGAAUGUUCUUGUGGGUUAUAAUCAGGGACUGUACAGAGUUUGUUUAGUUCAAUCUGUAAGAAAAAUACACAUUCCAGGGGGUUAUAAUUUAGACUCGAUGGCCGCAUCAGUCUCAUAGCCAAUCAUCUGAGGCUCGGCAGGAAAGCAAACUUGUUCCCCAAGAUGUCAAACGAACUGAAGAGCCUGUAGUUUCACUUGUGUAACACUUCCUCUACCUGUCUCUCUACUUCCUGGAAGGGGCGGAGCCUCAGAAUCAGUAGAGUUUAAGUCCCGCCCCUUCUGAUUUGCCACAUGGCAGCUUAUUUCAUCAACAUUCAUACAAAAGCAAGAGACAAAUAAUUUGUGAUCCCACUUGAAUUGUGCAACUUGCAUGUAUGGUUUUUGUCAAUUUUAAAGAAUUGGAAGAAGUUAAGACCCCCAAAGA
rnacentral:lncRNA from 1 species